rnacentral:misc_RNA from 1 species
GAUGAAGAACGUAGCGAAAUGCGAUAAGUAGUGUGAAUUGCAGAAUUCAGUGAAUCAUCGAAUCUUUGAACGCACAUUGCGGCCAUAGGUAUUCCUUUGGCCAUGCCUGUUCGAGCGUCAUUUACACCCUCAAGCCUAGCUUGGUGUUGGGCGUCUGUCCCGCCGUUCUCGCGCGCGGACUCGCCUUAAAGUCAUUGGCGGCGGUCGUGCCGGCCCCCUCGCGCAGCACAUUUGCGCUUCUCGGAGGCCCGGCGGAUCCGCGCUCCAGCAAGACCUUUCACGACUUGACCUCGGAUCAGGUAGGGAUACCCGCUGAACUUAAGCAUAUCAAUAAGCGGAGGA